UGAAAAAUAAUGUAUUUAAACCAUGAUUUGAUCUUUAACUCUCCUUUCAGAAUUGAACGUCUUUGGAGAGACGUGUGGUGCGCAGGAACUAACGUACACAACAAUGUGCUGCACUCAGGAGAGGACAACAGUUUGCUUGACCUGUCAAACAUGUUAGAUAACUUCUGUUGUCACUAUUUAUUUGUCCCAAGAUUACAACUAAGUUUUCACACCAUCAGCAGUGGCUGGGAUGACCAUUCACUCAGAACUGAAGGGAAUCUAACACUCAGUCAGUUAUGGGAGAUGGGAAGCAUCCAGCAUGCUGUGGUAGAACCAGAAAUCACGGAGCAGAUAGCUGACCAUCAGCGGCAGGACGCCAUCUGCAGUCAGCUGAUCCGCCAUUGCCAAAGAGGCUGGCCACGACAAGAGGAGCUGUCCCAGCAGCUGAAGCCUUAUUGGAUUCACCAGGACUAUGACUUCAGACAUGUCACCAGUAGUCCAUACUUCGCUCAGAGUAACGGGGAGGCAGAGAGGGCGGUAAAAACGAUGAAAAGCCUCUUGAAGAAGAACACCGACCCAUACAAGGCCCUGUUGGCAUACAGGCUCACGCCGCUGAAUCAAGGCCCAUCACCGGCUGAGCUCCUGAUGGGUAGAAGGCUGCGCUCACCCUUGCCACUCUUAUCCAGUCAACUUAAACCACAGUGGCCAAACCAAAAUACAUUUGCAGACAAGGACAUAGAGCUGAAACAGGCACAGACACUGGCCUACAACAAAAGACAGAGCGGGGGUCAGACCAGAGCUAACAGCAGGUCAGCGCGUCUGGAUUACUAACACCCAGAAGACGGCUACGGUGCUGAGAAAAGCAGACACUCUUCGUUCCUAUGUCGUGGAGACCGAUUCAGAAGAGGUGAGGAGAAACAAGACAUCUCAGACCCUUACCAGACAUUCAACGCCCAGCAUCACCAGACAUUCAAAGCCCUGCAUAAAAUGGGGGAGACGCAGAACAGACAGCAGCACCGGAAGUGAGGGUGGGAGAGAAGGUGGAAAGGGUUUAUUCCAAGGAGGGAGGUGAAGGCACCAGCAUGACUCAAAGAUUAUGUCCUAUAAGGAAGAACAUUUAAAACCUGUUUCAAAUGUUAUUGUUAUUAUGUACGUUAAUUUCAGUAUUCAGUUGACAGACUGUAUGCUUUUAGUUAGGUAAGUUCAUGUUUUGUUUAAAAUUUUAUCACUACUUUGGGGAAGGGGAGGUGUGGUGUGUUAUGGUCCUUGGGGCGUUCCGUACCUGAGGCGGGUUAUGUGUAUGUAUGGUUACCGGUAAAGGACACUUCAGUAAAUAUGCCUGCCGGCUAAAGCAAGCUGUAGUCGGAAUCCUUAAUUAAUGGUCUAGAAGUUACUACAGCUAUGACAACAAGUCCAAGAUGAGUUUCUAAGAACCACACGAUCCAAGAUAAUGCCAAAUCGUCAACAAUCAAAUCCAGCUAACUGAGUUAGCAACGUACGAAGAACGGGCCCUAGGACUCAAAAUUUACAUUACAAAAACAGCUAAAAAAACACAGAAAAAAUAACUACAAGACAGAUCCUACUACUACCAUACACACCACCCGUGUUCCAGACGGAUAAAACUGGAUACAUAUAAUUAUCAUCAUUGUGGUUGUUAAUGCCAUUCAUACCUGAGGAGAAAAAAAAGGGGAGGGGGUGGGGUGGCAAAGUUGCUAUUUAUGCUGAAGCACAUGAAAAUUCAGAUUCAAAAUAGGAAAUAAAAGGUUUCCAGACCUUGAAAUAUCUUUUAGUGUUGCCCUGUAAAGUAAUUCUAAGAUGUUCCAACUUUAGGUGUGUCAUCACCUCCUCCACCCAUCUUUUGUGAGUUGGCGGUGCUGCUUUUAUCCAAUUAAAUAAAAUCAAUCUCCUGGCCAAUAAUGAAGAAAAUGCUAUUGCUUUCCUUUGACAGUCGUUAGUUCUGUUUCCCCCGGUGGCACACCAAAAAUGGCUACCAGAGGAAAGGGUUCAAUGUUUUUCUUGUAAAUGGAUGAAAAGGUUUUAAAUAUUUUGAUCCAGAAUUCUUUGAGCCUGGGGAGAGACCAGAACAUCUGAGAUGUGUUGGCUGGAACAUGUUUACAUGUAGGGCAAGUCGGAUCAGCUCCCUGGUGAAUUCCUGCCAAUUUGUCCCUCGUGAAAUUAAGUCUAUGUACCACUUUAAACUGUAUUAGUCCAUGUCUAACACAUACAGACGAAGAAUGUGUUCUACUGCCCACCUCCAUUCAUUAUUUGAUAUGUCCAGCUCUAAUUCUUCCUCCCAUUUCCUUUUUAUGUAGGCAAGGGAUGGGGAAGCCACCCUCUGGAUAUUUACAUAGAGCAUAGAAACCGACCCCUUAGUAGUCAGAUUUAUAUCCAAUAGCCAAUCUAUCCACCCACUCUGCAGUGAUUCACGAGAUGAGGAGAAUGUCUUUUUCACAAAAUCUCGAAUCUGAAAGUAUCUGAAGUUUUUAAGGGGAUUCCAUAUUCCUUUUCCAGCUGAGCAGCAGACAUAAGUACACCAUCUUUAACCAGAUUUUUAACAGAUUCCACCCCAGCUCUAUAUCAUUCCUUAAAUGCUGUUCCCCCCAGAGCUGGAGAGAACAGCUGAUUGCCAUAAACGGGAGCAGACCGGAGGCAUUUCUGUUUUUAAAAUGAGUUCUGAAUCGGACCCAGAUUGACAGUUUCAUACAACAGGGUUAUUUGUGUAAAGGUGCUUGCUUAGGGGCAAAGGGGUACAAAUCAGGGAACGCAGGGAUAUUGGGCUAGAUGCAUAUCUUUCCAUAUGUACCCAUACUGUGGUUUCCUCAUCAUCUAAUUGCGAGACCCAAAAUAGCAAUUUAUGUAGAUUAGCUGCUCAGUAAUAAUACAUAUAAUUUGGUAGAGCUAGCCCCCCCUCCUCUGUCUCUCUAGAAACUUACCCCGGAAUCUUAUCCGGGGUACUGUUAUUUUUUUCCACAUAAAAGGUAAUGUACAUUUAUUUAAUUAAAAAAAUAUAGGGGAAUAAAAAUUGGUAUUGUCUGAAAUAAGAACAGGAACUUUGGCAUUACGAUCAUUUUAAGAGUUUAUCUUACCUGCCAAUGAUAUUGGGAGAGAUGACCACCUUCCUAUAUCUGAU